rnacentral:rRNA from 1 species
AUUGAACGCUGGCGGCAUGCCUUACACAUGCAAGUCGAACGGCAGCACGGGUUCUUGCACCUGGUGGCGAGUGGCGAACGGGUGAGUAAUACAUCGGAACAUUUCCUGUAGUGGGGGAUAGCCCGGCGAAAGCCGGAUUAAUACCGCAUACGAUCUACGGAUGAAAGCGGGGGACCUUCGGUCCUCGCGCUAUAGGGUUGGCCGAUGGCUGAUUAGCUAGUUGGUGGGGUAAAGGCCUACCAAGGCGACGAUCAGUAGCUGGUCUGAGAGGACGACCAGCCACACUGGGACUGAGACACGGCCCAGACUCCUACGGGAGGCAGCAGUGGGGAAUUUUGGACAAUGGGCGAAAGCCUGAUCCAGCAAUGCCGCGUGUGUGAAGAAGGCCUUCGGGUUGUAAAGCACUUUUGUCCGGAAAGAAAUCCUUGGCCCUAAUACGGUCGGGGGAUGACGGUACCGGAAGAAUAAGCACCGGCUAACUACGUG